GGCGGAACCUGUCCCUGCGCCCGCGCUCGAGACGACGCGACCUGUUUUUCUGACCCAGCGGGAAGUGCUGGCGCAGGUGGUCUCGAAUGCGUGUUCCUCUUUGCCUCUGAUGUCUGGAAGGGGAAUUCAGCAGCAAGGACUCCUGUCUGGAGCUCUGACCCCAACUUCCUCAAUCCAGGCUCUAGAGAGGCGCCCGUAGCUGAGCCCUGGGGUCCCGCGGGCCGCGCACUCUCUCUCCCUUUCCCUGCUCUGCACCCCAGCCCGCGCUCCGGCCAGGGCGGACGUCCCUCUGUGCCCGCGCUGGCGCUUGUCCCUGUCCCGACCUGGGCUGGCCAUCACCCUGCACUGGGUCGGAUAGUCACAAGUCUCUCCCCUCUGAGACCGCUUCUGUUUUAAGACUGCGCAUCGCGAGGCUUUCAGCAUGCCCCUCCCCAUGCCGGGUGAGGCCUCAGGUGGUGGAAGAGUCAGGAGCAGUGCUGAGGAAGGACUCUUCCUACAGACAUGAGCCCAUCUGACCGUGGGAACAGCCUCCUGAGACCUGUGGGAAUGUGGUGACAUCAGCCGUUACCCCACUGGCUGGUCAACUUUAUCUCAUGGGAUCCUCUGACAACCCUCGAGGGAAGAGAUGCUCCCUUACAGAGGAGGAGGCUGGGACUUCUGGCUCAAGUUACUGAUUCCUGAGGUCACCUGGCCCUAGGACCUGGAGCAGGGAGGAAGAUGGCAGGACAGAGGCUGAUGGUGGCCCCUCCAUGCCAGGCACUCUCUGGUGGUCUCGUGUGACCUGCUGGCUGGGUGUCCCGUUCUACACACAGGGAAAUGGAAGUCCUCACACAAAACAACACCCGGGUGCCAGGUUUCACUCUUGUCCUGCGCGUGGCUUCACGGGGUAGUGAGGAGCACGGACAGGGAGGGAGGUGGCCGAGUUUGUCCCCAAGUUCCGCUCCUCACCAGCUGUGUGACCUCGAAUACCAGCCUCCAGCCUCCGAUCUGUGAGAUGGAGACAACACCGCGUAGCUCAAGGCCGAGAGCGCUUGAGACCAGUGCACACAGGUGCCUGGCCUGGGAGGCACGCAGAGAUGCAGCUUUGCCAUCCCUGGCUCUGUCCCGAAGUGACUAUGUGAUCAUUUUGAUUCUUUGAAACUCAGUUUUCCGGUCUGUAGCACUGGGACCGGACCAGAUGGCCUCGAAGAUUGCUUUCCUGACGUUGCACGUGAGCUCGGGUACGGUUGGCUGAUGGGGAUGCGUGGUGGGAGAAGAGGACCGGCGAGGGGCCCGCAGCCGUGCCACCAGGAACUCCGCAGCCCGGCCCGUGGCCAGCCCCGGCCUCAGCUCAGAGUGAGCUCUGUGAUCUGCCAAGCAGAGAAACAUGGCUUUUUGCACUAAAUUUGAUACUGAAAAAUGUAACCUGCGCGUCUGGGCUGAGCCCCCACGUGAUUCAGCACAUAGCAUGCCUCGGCUGGCUGGGCACCAGCUGGAGAUCAGAAGCCAGUCCGGUCUGAUAGAGUGUGAGCUGGACACAUGUUGACGACACACCAUGAAGCAGAAAUGGGAAGAUGAGCUGAAUCAGUCCUUGAACCAGAUGGCUGGGAUGACUUUGGAAGAGAGCGGAGGACCAUGUGGUUUUGCUUUUCCUGCGGGUGAUCUCACUUCCGGCGGUCAGGGGGCAUUUGUGCCGUGGCACACAGAGGCAAGGUCCCGAGAGAGGUGGAGGCCAACGGCCCCAGUUAGUGCUAACGUUGUCUUUUCCUGGCCCUGCGGAAGGAUGUGUCAUCGAGACUCAGGACGGGACUUCAUGUGGACCAGAGAAUGGAAGAUGCUGACCUUGACCUGGAUUUAAAAUAGAGCUGCAGAGUUUGCAGAAUGGACCCCCAGCUCUCCAUCCAUCUAUCUAUAGGAGGUUCUUCCCCAUCAAAGUCUAAGGUGGGAUAUACUUAGUUUGAGCCCUUAAAAUUUCUCUUUAGCAAAGGGUCAAUCUAUACCAGUGUGUAUUUGAGUUGCUUGUGUGUGCAAGAAAAGAUCAGCAUCGUGUGAAUCUUGAUGCUCAUCAAUUGAAAAGCCAGAGGAGGGUGGUGCCUCCCCAACAGUAUCGGGACUGACCGUAGAGUCCAGGAAGGAUUAUAUAGAGACUCAAAGAUUUUUCUGGUAGCCAUUCCUUAAACUACAAAGUAUACAUAGGCCUAGAUCUGAGAACCUAAGGGCAAGUGUAUCAGUCAGAGCUCACUGCCGGAAACAGAAACCGCUCCAGAUACGUUAAGUGGAAAGGGUCUUCAUACAGGAGGUUUGGUCUUUAGAAAGGGCUGAAGGAGCAGGUUCUAGGCUGUGCUACUGGAAUGACACCUAGAAGAAUACAGAACUGGCCAUCAGGAGAGCAGCUGCAAGGAGGCCUGGGCAGUGCCUUCCAAUUCUUGCCUGGGACAGAAGGAAAGGUCAGCUGGGCCACUCCAGAGUCCAGCUCACAGGGCAAUGCCAACAGGUGUUGUGCAGCUAAAGCGGAUGUGUGGAAUACUGAUUCUCUGGGAAAAGUUUGACUCAGAAACACCUAUGCUUUGGGGGGGGGGUAAAGUGAUGAAAAGCAGCCUUUUCUCCUGGUUUCCACAUGUGAUUCUAGAUGCUUCCGGUCUCAGCUCUACCGUAUUUCCUAUGCGGCCUUGAACAAACCUCAGCUCUCCCCGUUGUCAAACAAAGGUGUGUGACAAACUUGCAGGUGGCUUUGGGCUUUGGGGCGACUCCUCACAGUAUCUCUUCGCUCACGCUUUGGGUCUUGAGCAGAGCUAGUCUUAUAAACACUUCUGUGAAGAGCAACUCUUUGUUCCUGGGUUGUCCAGACUUCAAGGGCACUUCACGGGGUGGCGGGGGUGGGGGGUGGGGGGUGGAGGGUUCUGAGAGCUCAUGGAGAUCAAAGCAAAUUAGGAGGAAGAAAACUUGUGGAACACUUGUUAGGGCCCAAGCAGAGGUGGACUGUUGUCCAAGCAACCGCGUCUGCUGGGAAAUGCGAGGCUUCGUUGCCCCCCAGGCUCUGUCUCGUUUGCUGCCUCCAGGGGUGGCCUCCUUUUGCAGAUGAGGACCAGUAGCUUGGCGGGCUCCGGGAGGUUGGGGUGAGGUUACAGAGACCACAUGACUGUGGAGAGGAGACCGGUCCUCUCCCGGCGAGAGUAAGGGGCCUUGUUUUUGGGAAGUUCUGCCAGUUCCCAGCUGGGCUCCUUCGUAUCCAAAAGAGGAAGCAGAGGGAGUCACACGUUUAGGAUGGGGUCCCUCCCGCCUGUCUGCCUAGGCCUCUAGGGGUACGCUGGCGAAUGUUUAACAACUGACCAUGAGAAAAAAAAAAAAAAAGCCCACGUUUGACCUUUUUGUGGUGUAAAUACUCUCACCAUGCCGAUUCCAAGCUGCUGAUGAGGCAUCACUGAGUGCAGCGGUCAUACUUGGCUUAGCCAUCCAGGGAGGCCUGGCUUUAGCAGACCACCGACUUAAUGGCCCCCUCAUACCUGUUGGUGAAAGCCCCCAUUACUCAUGGAGGAGAGAAGCGAGACCAGCCUGGGGAUCAUGGAGACUAAAGGGGAACACACAGGCUGCCGGGCUUAAGGGGUCUUGCCCUGAGGAGGCACGGACGUCACCCUGAGGUGGAAGAUGGUCUAAAGUCACGUGUGGUUACUGUUCUCCAGAAGGAAUGGUUUUAGGGUACCACCCUAACUACUUCCUAUCCCGCACCAGUGACCUCAAGGACUGGUCUAAGUGCACAGAGUAAGUAACUGCCCAUGCAAAACUCUUGCCUCAGCUCUUGUGAAUAAGCUCAUUUAUUGGACGCCUCAGAGGGAGUGAUGCUCCUUCCCCCAGUAGGCCAGAGGGGGAAGACAGGGUGCAGGCCUGAGGCCUGGACAGGACCCCCAGCCUCUCGGCCUACAUGGAGUCAUUUCCCCACACCCUGGCCGUACUGGAAGCUCUCUCUCUCUUACCUGUGGCUUGUUCCUCCUCCUUUCCCUUCUUCCAGGCCUAGGAAGGGGCUGGUGUCCCAGGGCUUGCUGAGGACAUUCAAGGGUUGUCCGUAGAGUGUUGGAGAAGCACCGCAGAGACCCCUUCCAGCAGUGCGGCUGAGUGGGGCUAGCAAUGGGCCACAGGGGUGAGCCAUGAGGAAGAGGUCGGAUGACCCCUUGCCUGGUGCCUCGGGGGCUUGCUCAGGACUCCGGUAGGAAGUAACUCCAGGACCUCUCCCCCAUCUCUAAUUCCGAGCCUCGCACACCAUCGCAUCCUUGGGAAUAUUGCCUCUAGGACCCCCUUCCCCGCCCACUGCAGGUGCAUCGGCCGUCUGGGGGAAAAUGCUGAGGAUACAAGAGCUCGGAUGGGCCCCAGUUCAGCUGGACGUGGAAUCCCCCUCUGGCACUGCUGAGCUCUGUGACAUCAGACCUGUUACUUAACCUCUCUGAGCCUUGGUCUCCCAUGCGUCACUGUGAAGCGAACCGUUGUCAUUUUUACUGAUAUUGAUCGUGAGAAGGAAGGAGGCACAUGUGUAAACAAUAAGUGAGAUCAUGGAAAUGCACCAGGCCCGGGCUGGGCACACAGCUUCUCAAAUCCUAGUGUGGAGUGAGUGCUGUGUGUGUGGUUGAGGGCACUGUGAUUUCAGCCUCGGAGAACCCUGUGAGGAGUCAACAGCUCUUAGUAACCCAUCCUCCAGAUGAUCUGACUGGGGCUGGGGGCCACAGAGCCAGGCUGGAGCUGAGUGGGUGUUCCCUGGGCUCUCAGCUCCGAGGCCACCCAGGAGGCCCUGCCACCUCCUCUCCUGGCUUCCCUCUCUUUUUGCCAUGUUUGAGGAACUCGGCUCAAGAACCACCAGCCACAGUCCUGAACGGGCCCUUGCUUCCAGGAGGACAGCAGGAUGGAGGCAGGAUGACAGCAGGAUCUUGCCAGACCUUAGGCUUCUCUGAACGAAGACAAUAGCCUCUUCCCGGACUCAGUGUGAGUCAGGUUCCUGUGGCUGUUUCCUUGGCUGGAGAUCCUUUGGCUGCAUCCUCUGUGCCCCACAGGGCCCGCAACACUCUUGGAAGUCUCUCUGAAUGCCCCCGGGAGGAUUACCUGCUGCUUUUAUAGCUCUUGGACCCUGGGACCAUGACCUGAGCUGAAGGUGGACGCUUCACCAAUGGAGCCACCCAGGCACCCGGCAUAUAUUCCUUUGAUGAGGUCAAGAACAACUACUUUUUUGUUGGUCCACGAAUUCCCAUAGGCCUUUACUGCCCAGUGGCCCAGGUGAGAUUCCCUAACCAGCCCCUUCAGGCUGACAGUGCUUAGGCCGCGUGCCGAAGACUGGCCUCGCGAGGGGGGUCCCGGCUGAGGAGCCAGGUGUCCACAGGCCACACCCCCACCUGGCACUGUGCAUCUUUUCCGCAUCUGAGUUCUAAGUAUCCAACCCAUGCCCCGUCCUCGUCAGUUUCCAGUUUCCCACCAUCUUGAACAACCGUUUGAUUAAAUCCUUGUAGCCACACCUUUGCACAGGAUCUCUUCUUUUUGCUUCAGAUAAAUCCUAGCAGUAGAAUUGCAAAGCCAAAGGUCACGUUAACUCUUGGCGUGUGCUGCCCAUUGCCCCUCUCUCCAGAACUAGAGCUGGUACGUGAAGUGCCCCGAACCGGGCUAAGAGCAGACAAAGGGAGCAGUCGCAAUGCUGAGGAUGAAAAAAUCAGACUCACCCAAAGCCAGACGGAGAUGCUGAGGCUGGAGGGAGACCGCUCACCACAAACCGGCACCUCCAGCCCUGCCAAUACCAGGGGCCCUUGAUUUAUAGCAGCCAAGCCUGAAGCUCGUGCCAACGUUUCUCACGUAGAAAUGUCAGAAGAAAUCCCAGUGCCAUCGAACAAGACCUUUAUUCCUCCACCUGCACAUUAUGACUCUAAUAAACACGUUAUCAGCCCAUGAAAAUGAUGGCAAACAGGUGACUGAAGGAUUUGUUAAGUCAGCAGCAAAGAUUAACAGUUCUUUUCAGAGAAAGCUGUGAGAGGUUCCCCCGUUUAAAACAAUUGUGGCAUGCGAAUUUUCAGCACUUAAAUCAUUAUCGGCAAUUAGUCCUUGUCAAAAAGGUUGCAGCUGGCUUCAAUUACAGGUAAGUUUUUUAUAAUUUGAACUUAGUAGUGCGUCUGAUAAGUAGGACUUGGAGAAACAUCCUUUGGGAGAUUUACAAUUUGAGAAAAACUUCAAGGCAUUUUAAAAUUCAAAAAUUCAUUAUUUUCAGCAACGCUUUGUUCCUGACGUCUAUUAUUAAGCUUUUAGAAAAAUUUCCAUAAACUUCAUCCUUCAGCUGUAUUCUUCCCUAACAGAAAAAUUACUGAUGAUUAAAAAAUUGCUUUUUCAAUUAUAAAGCACUACAUGCACAUUAUAUACCAAAAAUUCUGAGCAGUACAGAGGAUACAAAACAAAAAUAACUGUCUUUGUAGACACACCCUCAUCCUCAGUCCACCCAGCUCCAGAGCUAAGCAAUUUUGGUUUUAAUUCUUCCAGAAAUUACCACCAUAACUUCUCUAGAAUUAUUUUUAUCGCUGUAUCUUAAUCAGUUAACCUUGGGCAGUGUGCAUUAACUCUUCACCAAGGAAGAUGUGGGCGGCAUCUGGCUGGCUCCGUUGGUAGAGCACGUGACUCCUGAUCCUGGGGUUGUGAGUUCAAGCCCCGCGUAGGGGAAGAAAGAGAGAGAGAAAGAAAGGAAGGAAGGAAGGAAGGAAGUGAGAUUUAGUGCCUUUACAUACCCUCCCAUCUUUCCUUCAUAUGUUGGCUUUUGCUGAUUAUGUACUUUUUAAGUUUUUCUGUAGCUUCACAACUUUUAGUACUAUGCUUACCUAUUUCUUGAUCCACCAACUUUAGAUUUUCACCAUUCUCACAGAUGUGUAGCAGUAUCUUGAGGCUGUUUUAAUUUGCAUCUCCCUGAUGACAUAGGAGGUAGAGCAUCUUUUCAUAUGCGUCCUUGCCUCCUGCCUAUCUUUUUUGGUAAAGUGUUCAGCUCUUUUGCUCAUUAUUUUAAGUCAGUUCCUUACUUUCUUACUGUUGAGUUUUAAGUGAUUUUUGGGUACAUUUUGGGUAACAGUUGUUUCUCGGAUAUGUCUUUUGCAAAUAUUUUCCCCCAGUCUGUGGCUUGUCUUCUCGUUCUUCUGAUAUCGUCUUUCCCAGAGCAGAAGUUUGUAAUUUUAAGGGUGACCAGCUUAUUAAUUAUUUCUUUCAUGGAUCACGCCCUUGGAGUUGUGGAGCCAUCAACUUGAGGCGUUAUCUGUUGAUUCCUCAUUAAUAAAGGGGGAGAAGGCAGCACAUUACAAGGGACUGAACUGCAGUGGAGGACUAGGCAGAGAGUUGGUAGAGCAGCAUGAAUGUUUGCAGAGAUGAAGCACCACCAUGCUUCUCCAGUCACAGUUGCCUAUGGGUCAUCCAUUUUGUUGCCGCUAAAGAAGCCAACAGCCUGAUGGGCCUUCCUGGGUGCCCCUCCAUGCAUUCCCAGGGGUGUCACUCACUAGACGUUCUUAGGUCCCAAUAGGACGUUUUGUGGGAAAAUUUGUGGGUAUCAACCAGCCUCUUCUACCAAAGGAGAAAGCCGCCUGCCCCAGUGCUUCGAGCUGUUGCCAAGGCGACUUCUGCCUCCAUCCAUUCCCAGAGUUUCGGGUUGACUUUGAAGUUCAUUCUUUCAAGGACAGAAGGGAAUUCCUAAGAGUUCACUGACAGUAAAGUUCAUGACAAAGAAUUUCGUCUGCAUAGCAUUGCUGUGCAUUUCUGAAUAGACCCAAGUAAGACCCUUUGUAAAAGUUCAUACAUGCAUAUGAGACAACAUUCAAAACGACGAAGAGAAGACAGUGAAAAGUGAGCCUCUCCUUCACUUCUGAUUCGUAGUCACUGAACUCCCUCCUUCAGAGGCGAGUAGAAUUAGGUGAUUCUUCUGUAACCUUCUGUAGGUGUACAGUAUAGUGGUUCAACACUUCUAUACAUGACUCAGUGCUCAUCACGUAUGAAUGGCAUCAUAUGCAAAAGUGAAUCUGUGGUCUUUUGUAAAGAACUGCUUGGGAGUACCUUAUCCCAUAUUUAACAGAGGAGGUGUGUUUUUUUCAACAUCAUUUUACUCCUUUGUUCUUUGAUCAAAGGCAGUGUCAGAACCAAGGACAACUACCAUGGGACCUUCAUCCUCCACAGCAAGCUGUGUUACCGCGGAGGGAUCUUCCCAUCUGGGCUAAAGGAUAUAUAGCUUUUCAUCUUAAAACUGGGAAAAAUGAUGUAAGUAGACUAUUUUGUUUCUCUCCAGAUCCCUGGGUAAGCUUUCAGUUUACCUGAUUGGUUUUAAAACCAUUGAAUCUGUAUCAAUAGGCUAAGCAAUGUCAGUAAAACUCAAACAAAUAGAAGGGGCUCCAUUAAUUUUCGUUUGCAAUAUAACAGCCCUACAAGAGUAGUUAUCAUCUAUGUUAACGUUUUCAUAUAAAGAAAAUUUUUUUCUUAAGUGUCUACGUUCCCUCUACAUCAAUAAUACUAAUACGAAUAGUACACCGUCAGUAAGAGUAAUGACAAUGGGGACGACUUUACAUUUUACAAAGCACCUUAAAUACGUAAUUGGUUUGAACUUUUUAGAAAGCCAGUGAAGUUAUUGAGGAAACCUUGUAUCUCCAUUUUGUGAAUGAUGAAAUGAGGUCUGGAGAGGUUAAAUGACUUGCCCAAAGUGUAAUGGUCAAGACAUGGCAGGUUAUGACUUGCUAAUUCUGUGCUUUUUCUACCAUGCCUCACAAUGUUUGCAUCUACGGGCUUCCAGAAGCCGUGGCUUUCUGCUAGCCAUUUGUAGUUACAUAUUAUUUUUGUUUAAGAUGAUUAUUUUUUCCAAUUACCAAAGUUACAAGUGGCCACUGUAGAAAAUUCGAAAAUAUAGAGGAGUAUAAGGAGAAAAUAGUAACCACCCUACUUCUGGA